rnacentral:rRNA from 1 species
AACAUAGCGGCGGACGGGUGAGUAAUGCUUAGGAAUCUGCCUAUUAGUGGGGGACAACAUUCCGAAAGGAAUGCUAAUACCGCAUACGCCCUACGGGGGAAAGCAGGGGAUCUUCGGACCUUGCGCUAAUAGAUGAGCCUAAGUCAGAUUAGCUAGUUGGUGGGGUAAAGGCCUACCAAGGCGACGAUCUGUAGCGGGUCUGAGAGGAUGAUCCGCCACACUGGGACUGAGACACGGCCCAGACUCCUACGGGAGGCAGCAGUGGGGAAUAUUGGACAAUGGGCCAAAGCCUGAUCCCGGCGCGUGUGUGAAGAAGGCCUUUUGGUUGUAAAGCACUUUAAGCGAGGAGGAGGCUACUUGGAUUAAUACUCUAGGAUAGUGGACGUUACUCGCAGAAUAAGCACCGGCUAACUCUGUGCCAGCAGCCGCGGUAAUACAGAGGGUGCGAGCGUUAAUCGGAUUUACUGGGCGUAAAGCGUGCGUAGGCGGCAAAAAGUCGGAUGUGAAAUCCCUGAGCUUAACUUAGGAAUUGCAUUCGAUACUGGGAAGCUAGAGUAUGGGAGAGGAUGGUAGAAUUCCAGGUGUAGCGGUGAAAUGCGUAGAGAUCUGGAGGAAUACCGAUGGCGAAGGCAGCCAUCUGGCCUAAUACUC